AUUUUCUCACUUUAUUACAGUUUGAGGUACGAGGAAGUAGCUGGAGGGGGAUGUUAUUUGUUUGUAAAAUGGUAUACACAGGAAGAUUUAAAGCGCACGAUCGUCGUACUUUAUCGGAGUAAAAAUGUGGAGGAAUAUUGGUAGUAAUUAAAGCCUAAUAUUAGAAAGCAGAGAUAGCGCUUUUGAAUUUUGGUCCCUUGUAUGUGAGGAGGCAGGUGUGGGCGGGAUAAUGGAGUAGGUUAUCCAUCCUUCAGUGUGUAAUGGAAGGUCCUAUUAAAAACAUUUUAUUCAUCAACGUCUAUUUUCAUAGCUUUUAAUUACUUACCUUCCACUUAUGUCUCCUAGUUUUCAUAUGGGGGUCACUGACCCAGCCUUCAAAAUCUUGCUUAGUGGAACAAUUUGUAGAUUGUAAGCUCUUUUGGGCAGGGCUCUCCUAACCUCUUGUAUCGGUUAUUGAUUGCUUUAUAUGUUACUCUGUAUGUCCAAUGUAUGAAACCCAAAAGAACUUCCAAUCUACAAACACUCUAGCAACCAUAUAACUGCCAGAGAGGUGCUGAACAAAAAGCUGCGUCAUUUAAAACAACCAAACAAUAAUAAAGAAGGCUAAUUACAAAUCCGAAAGCACAUUCUUCCCAUUACCUAUUAAAAUGUAGCACUUCAUUUUAGAACUGUGUAUAUAUUUAUUUCAUGUUUGUUCACCUUUGUAUUUUAUUAGAAACACUGCACUAAUGAAACUAUGCUCUCUUUCAUCUUUUGCCAUAGGCUGGACAAAUUGAGGCAAAUUGGUUUGUAUAUAUAAAUAACCCUCUUUGGUACUUAGCAGGGAUAGAUACAUUUUCUCUGUCUGCUGCGAGUAGGGUUCUUGGCGUGCAGCUGUAAUUAAAGAGACUUAUGAAUUGGGAAGAAUAGCUGCUGCUAGCCUGGUCUUCAUAGUAUUAAUAAUACUACUUAGCAUCAUCAUUGUAUGGUUGAAAUGGAAGAUAAAAAUGAAGAUCAGUGAUGAAAGGUUACAAACCUCUUCAAAAGAUGCCCUGACAAUGACAGAGACUGCACAUGAGGAACAUGAACUACAAGAAGUCAUUGUUAUAGGCCCUAAAAAAACAGAAGAGAAAAAAGAUGAAGAGGCUACUAACGCAAAACUAAAAAAGACAGAGAAAGAAGAAGAAGCAGACAUGAUGAAAAUAAAAGAUAAAGAAGAAACUGACACAAGGAAAAAUACCCUUGCUAAAGAUAAAGAGGAUGAUCAAAGAGGAGAACCAGCAGACACAGAUGUAGAAUAUGGUCUGGAAGAAAAUAAGAAAAAGGAAACAGAAAUAGUGGGUAAUAAGAAACCUAAGAAAAAGAGACUAAAGAAGGCUUUUUUUUUCUGUGCUCCACUAAUAAAGAAAAUACAA